rnacentral:rRNA from 2 species
GUUAUAUGGUCAAGUGAAGAAGCGCAUACGGUGGAUGCCUUGGCAGUCAGAGGCGAUGAAAGACGUGGUAGCCUGCGAAAAGCUUUGGGGAGUCGGCAAACAGACUGUGAUCCAGAGAUCUCUGAAUGGGGGAACCCAGCCAGCACAAGCUGGUUAUCUUGUACUGAAUACAUAGGUGCAAGAGGCGAACCAGGGGAACUGAAACAUCUAAGUACCCUGAGGAAAAGAAAUCAACCGAGAUUCCCUUAGUAGUGGCGAGCGAACGGGGACCAGCCCUUAAGUUGGUUUGAGAUUAGUGGAACGCUCUGGAAAGUGCGGCCAUAGUGGGUGAUAGCCCCGUACACGAAAAUCUCUUAUCAAUGAAAUCGAGUAGGACGGAGCACGAGAAACUUUGUCUGAAUAUGGGGGGACCAUCCUCCAAGGCUAAAUACUACUGACUGACCGAUAGUGAACUAGUACCGUGAGGGAAAGGCGAAAAGAACCCCGGAGAGGGGAGUGAAAUAGAUCCUGAAACCGUAUGCGUACAAGCAGUGGGAGCCUACUUUGUUAGGUGACUGCGUACCUUUUGUAUAAUGGGUCAGCGACUUAUAUUCAGUGGCGAGCUUAACCGAAUAGGGGAGGCGUAGCGAAAGCGAGUCUUAAUAGGGCGUUUAGUCGCUGGGUAUAGACCCGAAACCGGGCGAUCUAUCCAUGGGCAGGUUGAAGGUUAGGUAACACUGACUGGAGGACCGAACCGACUACCGUUGAAAAGUUAGCGGAUGACCUGUGGAUCGGAGUGAAAGGCUAAUCAAGCUCGGAGAUAGCUGGUUCUCCUCGAAAGCUAUUUAGGUAGCGCCUCAUGUAUCACUGUAGGGGGUAGAGCACUGUUUCGGCUAGGGGGUCAUCCCGACUUACCAAACCGAUGCAAACUCCGAAUACCUACAAGUGCCGAGCAUGGGAGACACACGGCGGGUGCUAACGUCCGUCGUGAAAAGGGAAACAACCCAGACCGUCAGCUAAGGUCCCAAAGUCAUGGUUAAGUGGGAAACGAUGUGGGAAGGCUUAGACAGCUAGGAGGUUGGCUUAGAAGCAGCCACCCUUUAAAGAAAGCGUAAUAGCUCACUAGUCGAGUCGGCCUGCGCGGAAGAUGUAACGGGGCUCAAACCAUGCACCGAAGCUACGGGUAUCAUCUUAUGAUGAUGCGGUAGAGGAGCGUUCUGUAAGCCUGUGAAGGUGAGUUGAGAAGCUUGCUGGAGGUAUCAGAAGUGCGAAUGCUGACAUGAGUAACGACAAUGCGAGUGAAAAACUCGCACGCCGAAAGACCAAGGUUUCCUGCGCAACGUUAAUCGACGCAGGGUUAGUCGGUCCCUAAGGCGAGGCUGAAAAGCGUAGUCGAUGGAAAACAGGUUAAUAUUCCUGUACUUCCAGUUAUUGCGAUGGAGGGACGGAGAAGGUUAGGCCAGCCUGGCGUUGGUUGUCCAGGUUUAAGGUGGUAGGCUG